rnacentral:tRNA from 1 species
GCGCCGGUGGUGUAGAGCGAACAUCGCUGCCCGGAAAGCAGAAGAUGCGGGUUCGAGUCCCGCCUGGAGCA